rnacentral:tRNA from 1 species
GCCUGGGUGGCUCAGUCGGUUGAGCAUCCGACUUCAGCUCGGGUCAUGAUCUCACAGUCCGUGGGUUCGAGCCCUGCAUCGGGCU